rnacentral:rRNA from 1 species
AACAGGAUUAGAUACCCUGGUAGUCCACGCCCUAAACGAUGUCUACUAGUUGUUGGUGGAGUAAAAUCCAUGAGUAACGCAGCUAACGCGUGAAGUAGACCGCCUGGGGAGUACGGUCGCAAGAUUAAAACUCAAAUGAAUUGACGGGGGCCCGCACAAGCGGUGGAUUAUGUGGAUUAAUUCGAUGCAACGCGAAAAACCUUACCUGGCCUUGACAUGUAACGAACUUUCCAGAGAUGGAUUGGUGCUCGAAAGAGAACGUUAACACAGGUGCUGCAUGGCUGUCGUCAGCUCGUGUCGUGAGAUGUUGGGUUAAGUCCCGCAACGAGCGCAACCCUUGCCAAUAAUUGCCAUCAUUUAGUUGGGCACUUUAUUGGGACUGCCGAUGACAAAUCGGAGGAAGGUGGGGAUGACGUCAAGUCCUCAUGGCCCUUAUGGCCAGGGCUUCACACGUAAUACAAUGGUCGGUACAGAGGGUUGCCAAGCCGCAAGGUGGAGCCAAUCCCAGAAAGCCGAUCGUAGUCCGGAUUGAGGUCUGCAACUCGACCUCAUGAAGUCGGAAUCGCUAGUAAUCGCGGAUCAGCAUGUCGCGGUGAAUACGUUCCCGGGCCUUGUACACACCGCCCGUCACACCAUGGGAGUGGGUUUUACCAGAAGUAGGUAGUCUAACCGCAAGGAGGACGCUUACCACGGUAGUAUUCAUGACUGGGGGCGAAGUCGUAACAAGGUAACC